rnacentral:lncRNA from 1 species
UGCCCUGCUGGAAGCCCUCCUGGCACUGGUGCUGUCCUGGAGUAUGAGGUCCCCACGGCCAUUGGCUGCCUUGAGCUUCCUGCUCCUCUGUUUCCUGCCUUGUGAGGGCUGGUGAUGGCACUGUCCUUGGUGGAUGGGAUUGCUGUGCCAUCUAUGGCUGCAAAUAAUCCGUGCAACUUGUUCCCAUCCAGCACAAUUUCACACUGCACAAGUGAGACGGGGACUAUCGUAUUGUCAAGAACUCUCUGAGCUCUCCCUUCCCUGGGGCUAUUUGGACUUUCGCAGGUUUUUACAUUUGGUUUUGCAAUCAAGAGAAACUUAAUUAAAAAAAAAAAAAGAACGAAAUAAAGAAAGGGAGAAGAUGAAGAAAAAAAAUCA